CCUACGGGAGGCUGCAGUGGGGAAUAUUGGACAAUGGGGGGAACCCUGAUCCAGCCAUGCCGCGUGUGUGAAGAAGGCCCUCGGGUUGUAAAGCACUUUCAGUGAGGAAGAACGCCUGGUGGUUAAUACCCAUCAGGAAAGACAUCACUCACAGAAGAAGCACCGGCUAACUCCGUGCCAGCAGCCGCGGUAAUACGGAGGGUGCGAGCGUUAAUCGGAAUUACUGGGCGUAAAGCGCGCGUAGGUGGCUUGAUAAGCCGGUUGUGAAAGCCCCGGGCUCAACCGGGGAACGGCAUCCGGAACUGUCAAGCUAGAGUGCAGGAGAGGAAGGUAGAAUUCCCGGUGUAGCGGUGAAAUGCGGAGAGAUCGGGAGGAAUACCAGUGGCGAAGGCGGCCUUCUGGACUGACACUGACACUGAGGUGCGAAAGCGUGGGUAGCAAACAGGAUUAGAUACCCCGGUAGUC
rnacentral:rRNA from 1 species